CUCCCAACCUUGCAAGGCGAGCGCGGGAGCCCGGCUGGUGGGAAGCCCCAACACAGCGCUGCCUAACCGUCCCGCCCCUCCUCGGCCUUCCUCAGCUGUCCCCGCCCCCCCCCCCCCCCCCCCAGACCCUACCGCCACCCCGCCUGGGUCACGAUCUCCUCUCGGCCUACCCCAGCCACCUUGGGCGAGGCGCCCCCUCCCCAGGCACGCCUUUCCCCGCCUCAGCGCCUCCCUAAUCCUGUUCUGCCCUGCCAACCUCAACCUGGGGCGGGCCGGCCUCGGGCCCCCAAGCUGGCAUUCCAGGGCGGGUGCGUCCGGGUGCGACCGGGGACGGCGUGGGAGCGGUUUGCGUUCCAAGUCCGAGCCUUUAUCAGCAGGCGACCUGGGCCCAGGCACUUUUUGAAAAUACUAACAACUACUACCGACUGGACUCUCGCCAGGGGCCGGGCUCUAUGCCAAGCCCUGUUAAAAGGACUGGCCCUUAAAUUCUCACAACCUUCUGCGAUGGUAGCUUGUUGCUCCAUUUUACCGACGGACGACCUGAGGUUUAGAGAAAGGAAGUCGUGGCCUCCGAGUCUCACGCUGGAGGUGAGCAGGAUCCGGCUGCAAGCCCUGAAUCACAAGCCUGAUACUGCCCCAGCUUGCCUGGACUGGCCCCUGGAGAAGUGGCCUUGGCCAGCCAGCUGUUGGGGCUGUGUUCAGCAGGCUGCCUGAGGUGAGGGAGGAGGCGUGGGUUGAUGAGGCGGGUAGCAGGAGGGGCUGCUGGCCUGAGCCCCAGAAGCUGGUUUUCUCCCUUAAGAAGUGACUCAGAAUUAAGAAGGGCUGCAAAGAUCUCCAGAUGGCUGUGGUGCCCUGACCUGCAUCCCAGCCCUCUGCACUCCCAGACCCCAGGGGCCAGCCUCGGGUAGGUUUCCUACUUAUGACCGGGACCAUUCACCUUGCAGCUGACAAAGCUCUUUAACUCCCAUUAUCUCAUUGGCAUCUCACAAGGACGCCAUUAUGGGGAAGGUAUGAUUAUGCCGGGUUUUGCAUGGGUGGAGUUAGGGUGGGGAGCUGGAUCCCAGCCCAGCACGGUGGUUCCCAAAGCAUGGUCCUUAGACCUCUGGCAACAGCAGUGGUGUCUGGGAAUUUGUUAGCCAUGCGUGUUUGGGAGCCCCAUCCCAGGCCUACUGAAUGAGAAACUCUGGGAGAGGAGCCUAGCAGUUUGUUUUAACAAGGCCUCCAGGUGAUUUUGAAAUCACAAGCAAGUUGGAGAAUCACCGUUGGGCACACUGGUGAAGAAAUUAGGGUGCUCUGAGAGUCACAAAGGCCUGGUAGCAUCCUGGGAGCCUUGCGACCCAAGGCAAGGGACACCAUCAUUCCUGCGAGGGGCCAACAGCUUAACACGUUCCCAGAUGACGUCGACACAGCUGGUCCAGGGCUCACAUCUUCAGAACCACUGUGCUUUUCUGUCUUGGACUGGGCUCCUGGCCGACCCUUGAAAAUGGGCGUAAAACACCCUCCUCUUCCACCCUGUUCCCCGUCCCCUCCCCUCAAGCUGGGGGUGUUUGUGAUGGUGAUUGGCAGUUGGCAAAACAGCUGGGAUCACAUCAGCCCCUCCCUCGCCUCCAGACAGACGUUCAAUCACAGGAGGCCCAUCUGCUACCCCUUUGGGUCUGUCACUCCAGAUUAGAGACGGGGGCAGCUGUGGCAACACGGAGGCAGGCAGAUUUUCGAAUCUCUGCCAUACCCCCUACCCCCCUCUGCAGCCCCAUAGAUGAGGGCCUUCCUAUAGGAGCUCAGAGCCUAUUUGUCCUAUUAAGUACCCUAAAUGCUAAAAAAUGCUUGAAUUAAAUGCUAAAGUAAAUGUUUUGUUAAAUGCUAAAAAUAUCAACAUGUUAAUGCUAAAAAUCGAGACCCACCUAGCUUACAUCUAAACAUGUAACAGACUAUAAAAUAAAAUAUGUUUAUUCUCCUA